rnacentral:rRNA from 1 species
AUUGAACGCUGGCGGCAGGCCUAACACAUGCAAGUCGAGCGGAUGAAGGGAGCUUGCUCCUGGAUUCAGCGGCGGACGGGUGAGUAAUGCCUAGGAAUCUGCCUUGUAGUGGGGGAUAACGUCCGGAAACGGGCGCUAAUACCGCAUACGUCCUGAGGGAGAAAGUGGGGGAUCUUCGGACCUCACGCUAUCAGAUGAGCCUAGGUCGGAUUAGCUAGUUGGUGGGGUAAAGGCCUACCAAGGCGACGAUCCGUAACUGGUCUGAGAGGAUGAUCAGUCACACUGGAACUGGGCCACGGUCCAGACUCCUACGGGAGGCAGCAGUGGGGAAUAUUGGACAAUGGGCGAAAGCCUGAUCCAGCCCUGCCGCGUGUGUGAAGAAGGUCUUCGGAUUGUAAAGCACUUUAAGUUGGGAGAAAGGGCAGUAAGUUAAUACCUUGCUGUUUUGACGGUACCAACAGAAUAAGCACCGGCUAACUUCGUG